CCAUUAAUAUAAAAGUGUAUUACAUAAUUUUUAGAAGUCGUUAAACCCAUGUCAAGAAGCGGCACAAGUGGCACAACGGGAUAAGGAGGGUGGAUGAUUAGCGAGGGAUACCCGGUUCGUCUACCCGUCACAACAUAUCGUGUGAACAUAUUACUGACAAUUUGAUAAUUUAAUUAAUAGUCUAUAUUUUACGGAUAACUUAAACUGUUAAAAUAAAUGUUACUGGAAUAAUUUGAGGAAUGUUUCAUUUGCAUAGAACCUGUUGUCUUUCUUAACGCCGUAAUGCACCUUCGAGUGAAGUGGAAAAUCGAUUCCUGAGCAAUCGAUUCCAACUAAUUCAGCUCCUUCACUUGGGACAGCGCCUCUGUAACGUCGAACGUAAGAGGCAGCGUGUUAAGAAGCUUCCUAAGGGACACUUCGGGGAACACACUUAGGAACAUAAACAACUUUGGAACACGAGGUUGCAGAGGAUUGAGAGGCAGAGCUUCUGGAGAGGGAACAGUGGCUGGACAUCUGACCGCUGGACAGCAGCUGUUCUGCGGUCUGAUCUUCUCUCUCUGUGUUGUGGGGGCGUCCUGCUCCCGCCGUUGUCCAGUG